CCCACAGCAGCUGCAUCACCAGCAGUGCCUCCAGGCAGAGAGGCAGGGGCCCCCCUGUGGCCUCCCAGAGAGCCAGGCUCCAUAAGAUCCAGUCUGUAUUCAAAACCUGGUUCUGGCAACUCUUCCACUGGCGAUCAUUCCCAACCUGUGCUUUCUGAUGAGCACGCUCUGGAGCCUCACGUGACCACUGGCAGUCCCACCGAUGGGUACUGCGUAGUCACCUGAAAUUCAUCUGCAGCUCAAGAAAUGUACAGCAUAUCUCUUUCCAUGCAAGACACAAGAUAGCAAAGAUACCCUGACAUUUUGAAAAGGAGAGCUCAGAGGGCUGGGGGGAGGCUGCAGAAAUUGCUUAGUUCUCUGGAAUCAAUUGUUGGCCAGCCCACGACUGCACAUGGUUAUUAGAAGAAGCUGAACUGGGGGCACAUACCCUUUCCCCACCUCGCAGAUGCCGCCUCACAUUGUACCCGGAGCACCGCCAGGGUGCCCGAUUCCCCGACUUCCACCCACAUCUCAGCAACGAAUUUAAAUCGUUCUGCUCCUUUCUCAUCCAGUACGUUGCUAAGUUACGGAAGAUAAUUAGGAACAGGUUUGGGAGCUCAUUACAAUUCCAGUCACGGUGCUCUCUCUCUGCCCCCCUCUUUUUCUGAGGAGCAGGAGGAAAAUACUCACUGAGCCCAGCCUUGGCUCGUAGAGCAGGUAACGCAGGUGCUGGGCAGGGUGCAGCGGGCUCUUGCAAGCUGCACCGAUGAAUACGGGAUGCGGAAAUCCAGAAACAUGUCAUUGGACACCCCCCCCCCCAACACCUGCUUUGAGGAAAAUGUCAGAAAAGCACCUGGCCUCUAGAUGGGGAUUGCUGGCGCCCAGGGACAAGGGAUGGAGCAGCCCGGAAAUGAGCAGUUAAAACUUUAGAAUUGGAAAGUAGCAGGCGGAAUCCGUCUAAUCACCGUUUGGCUGAACGUGGUACUUCAAACCGGUGAGCGCAGCCUUUGUGUCCGAAGACGGACUCCCCCCCCCGGACUCCCCAGCAACC